GCAUGGAUUUGGAUUUACGACAGGCCCAUCCCCAUGGACCUCUCAUAGUGUCUUAUGUCAGAGCAAACUGUAGCCCAAACCAUUACCUGGCCUUGUCUGUAGGCCUCAGCACUGAAAAGGGUUGCACAGUG
rnacentral:snoRNA from 1 species